rnacentral:rRNA from 1 species
CCUACGGAGGGCUGCAGUGGGGAAUAUUGGACAAUGGGGGCAACCCUAAUCCAGCCAUGCCGCGUGUGUGAAGAAGGCCCUCGGGUUGUAAAGCACUUUCAGUGAGGAAGAACGCCUGGUGGUUAAUACCCAUCAGGAAAGACAUCACUCACAGAAGAAGCACCGGCUAACUCCGUGCCAGCAGCCGCGGUAAUACGGAGGGUGCGAGCGUUAAUCGGAAUUACUGGGCGUAAAGCGCGCGUAGGUGGCUUGAUAAGCCGGUUGUGAAAGCCCCGGGCUCAACCUGGGAACGGCAUCCGGAACUGUCAAGCUAGAGUGCAGGAGAGGAAGGUAGAAUUCCCGGUGUAGCGGUGAAAUGCGUAGAGAUCGGGAGGAAUACCAGUGGCGAAGGCGGCCUUCUGGACUGACACUGACACUGAGGUGCGAAAGCGUGGGUAGCAAACAGGAUUAGAUACCCCAGUAGUC